rnacentral:lncRNA from 1 species
GCAACAAAGUUCUCUAAUACGUGGCACACAUUUCCCUCCUCUUCUAAAUCCAAGAUUAUGGCAUGUCAUGUUGCAUCAUGAAACAUCUUCACAUAAUCCAAGACAAUCAUAAGCUUCUUUUGCUGUGACAACAAAAUAAUUUUUGAAUUAGAAUGCACAUUCACGCUAGCAUGCACAAAUAUUUGGCUAGAAUUUGAGAAUAACUAAGGUGUGCAAUAUGAAUAUGUUGAAUAUAAAAGAAUAAUGUUUAGAGGCCUUCAUAUCUAUAUGUUCUUCUUAUUUUGUCUAUCAAAAUAGAAGAAGAUGUAUACCAUAAGUGAAGAACAUAGAAACAACUAUGAUGGCCACUUAUUGGUAGUGGAAGAGG